AAAGUUUAAACUCCUAGGCGUCGUGUAUUUAAUUAAAAAUGAGUAAAGGUUUAACUUUUAAAGGCAAACAAACUUGCAAAAUCGAUGUAUUGAUUAGGAAAAUGAACAAAGAAAACUAUAUCUUCACAUGUUAUCGCUGAGCUGUGACCGGCUCACUCACUUAAUCUAUGAAUGGCGUGUUGCUGUAAAGUUUACCAAGGCACAAUUACCUGAAAUAGUAACCUUUUGUGUCGACUAGGUCUUUAUAAUGUCAUGCAGGUUAUAUUGUGUGUCUAUAAUAGCAUCACGUCUAAAAAAAACGUGGCCUACAUAGCCGUUCAAGCUAGGACAAACCAAAAGGACGAAAUGAGUGGAAGGGGAGUGUCCUUUUCUUUCAGCAAUUUUUGCGAGCUCUAAAUAAAACACUGUGCGUACCAAAGGUACAGACAGCGAGAAAGAACAACAACAAAAAAAUAUUCGACAGGGAUGUGGAAAUACUAAGUUACGAGUGAGAGUUACGAAAAUUCGAAAUUGCCAGCCACUGAGAAACAAUGAAAAGAAAGGUAAGUUCUAGUGUAGUUAAAUUGGCGUGACUAUUCGCUUCCAUGAGUUCGACGGUAUCAUUCUGGUCGGAUCGCGAAGCCUUAUAUACACAACUGUAAAAGGAUUGACAUUUGGAAAACUAAUCUUCUGUUCCUCUUUGUUCGCUUUUUUCCAGUAAACGAUUUCUGGUAGGAAAAAAUAGACAAGCAGGAUUUGGAGGUCAAAUUCCUAUUUAUGGAUGCAUUUGCACUUGGACAUUUCGCAAUCGUGGUUACACUAGGUAAUUUUGCAAGACGUUGACAGUUGCUUUGCUAAGCCCGUGGAUUAUUGCCAACAAUUCUUUUUAUAUCUCUUUCUCUUCUUCUGUUUUCUUGAAAUAAUAUUUUGAAAUCUACUGAGCCAUGUACAUAACAGUUCACAAUGACUAGCUUUACUUUAACUGUCGCAUAAGUCAGUCAAUUUCAACUAGUUCGUGUGAAAAUGGGAGAUCAUUUGGUUUAAAGCUAAUUGAAAUCAGUGGAGCGAAAAGAUUAUGAAAAAAACGUAUAAAAUGAGAAUAAAAUAAGAUAAAAAAGAAUUUACGGUUCCUCUCCUUUUUGUUGGACGGAUGUUUGGUUGAUUAACAACUCAUGGAAGGAAAGGGAUUGCGUGUUCCACAUGGAUUCUUCCGGCUGAAGUUUUGUAUCGCAGACCUGAAUUGCCCAACAUUAACCGAGUUAAGUGGCCAUGAAUGUUCGUCCCCACCAGCAGCUAUUACGACUAGAACCCCGAGGAUGACAGCAGCCACGAAUGUAAUGCCACAUCAUUAAUAUUUCUUCUCUGCUUUGCUUAUUAUUUUUGUUGAUGCCAUUGGUUGGAUCUGAACAUCAAAGUACUGAUUGAUGUCUUUUAAAAAAUCUUAUUUUCUCUCAUAUUUUUACUGUGUUUAUGGAAGCUUAAACUUCAAGGUUCUUUAGAAGCAGUCACUGCUAGUUAUUCAUCAUCGUCAACUCUUGUUUACUGCCACGUAUACAUAACACCACGUAGAAAGAAAAAAUAAUCAAAAUAACCAAAGCGGGAUGGGGAAAAUGCCCAGCAACUGCCAACGACGCGAACUCGAUUCAUCAGCGGGUACACCACACGAAACAGAGGAAACUGUUUGGCUCAUUACCUCAGCGGCUUUCACUUGAAAGAUGGUCAUAUCGUUGUAAGUUUACAUAAUCCUAGGGUUCAUUUCGAAAUGCUGCUGGCCAAGUUUUCGCGAACCAAAUUCAACCCGUGUGAUUUGUGACGACGCCACAUUUUGCUAAACCAUUUGGUAGGGUAGUGGUUUUCGUGGUCGUUCUCAUGUAAAUCAAACCACACGUCAUGAGAUUUCUUCUAGCUCGUUAUAUGUGUACGUUGCAUUUUCUCUCAGAGUGCAGCGACCCUUUUAAAUUUGUUAUUUUUCUGUCCUCUAAUAUCCUGUCUGUGGUUUUUUUCAUUUCGUGAUCACAGAAGAAAUAAAAAAUGACAAAACCUUCGCUAGAUGGCGUUAAGACUAUUACAAUGAAAU